GUGUCAACUUGAGUUCAGAUACACUAGAAAACAAUUGCAGGAAGAAGGCAGAUUCAGAAGGCAAAAGUUUUACAUUUUCUGCAUCUUCUUCCAUCCAAGCUAGUGUUUCAGGAACAAAGAGUCAGCACAGAAAGAAAAACAAGAAGAAAUCUAAUCACACUACUUUUGUCAUCUCCCCAAGUCCAGAUAUUAAGUUUGGACCAUCUUUUGAGUUGUCA
rnacentral:misc_RNA from 1 species